CAUGGGUGCUACAGGCUCAGUCCACACUGUGGGUGCUGCCGCUCAGUCACUGAGCACCUGGGACUGAGCACCGAGUACCAGUCAUGAGCACAGGACACCAGGAACUGAGUACCUAGCACCCGGCCUGAGUACUGAGCACCAGCGACUGAGCACUGAGCACUCGGGACUGAGCACGGAGCACCCAGUCUAAGCACUGAGCAUCGGGGGCUGAGCUCCAAGCACCCGGGACUGAGCAACAAGCACCAGGACUGAGCAACAAGCACCAGGACUGAGCACUGAGCACCGGGCCUGAACCCAGAGCACAGGGUACUGAGUACCGAGCACCCAGCCUAAGCACUGAGAACCUGGAACUGAGCCUCGAGCACCCGGGACUGAGCACCAAGCACUGAGCCCCCGGGACUGAGCACCAAGCACUGAGCCCCCGGGACUGAGCACCAAGCACUGAGCCCCGAGCCCCUGGGACUGAGCACCAAGCACUGAGCCCCGAGCACCAGGACUGAGCACCAAGCACUGAGCCCCGAGCACCCAGGACUGAGCACCAAGCACUGAGCCCCGAGCACCCAGGACUGAGCACCAAGCACUGAGCCCCGAGCCCCCGGGACUGAGCACCAAGCACUGAGCCCCAGCCCCUGGGACUGAGCACCAAGCACUGAGCCCCGAGCACCCAGGACUGAGCACCAAGCACUGAGCCCCGAGCACCCAGGACUGAGCACCAAGCACUGAGCCCCAGGCCCCUGGGACUGAGCACCAAGCACGUGGGGGGCGCGGCCUGCGCUGACGAGAGUUUGGGGGCGUGGCCUAUGCUAAUGAAGAUGGGCCCUGGGCUAAUGAGGGCGGCUCCAGGUUUUUUGGGGCUCGGGGGCGUGGUCUAUGCAAAUCGGGGCGUGGCCGAUGCAGAUGAGGCUUGGAUCGGUAUGACCGAGGGGGCGUGGCCUAUGCAGAUGAGGAUCGGAUCCGUAUAACCGAGGGGGCGUGGCCUAUGCUAAUGGAUGAGGCUUAUGCUGAUGAGGGUUGCUCCCGGCUUCUGUCCACUGGGGGCGAGGUUCAUGCAAAUGAGGACGGGGGCUAUGCUAAUGAGAGAGCGCGGCCUAUGCUAAUGAGGGCCAGGCUUUUGGGGUCGGGGGCGUGGCCCAUGCAAAUGAGGGCGAGGCCGAUGCUUCUCAAAUGGCGGCCCGUAUGCUAAUGAGGGGCGUGUCCUAUGCCAGCGGCAAUGAGGUUUAUGCAAAUGAGGGGUGGUUCCAGCCUUUUUUGUGCAUCGGGGCGUGGUCUAUGCAAAUGAGGACGAGGUCUAUGCUAAUAAGGCGAGGGUUGCUGUCUCUGUCAAUGAUAGCGAGGCUUAUGCUAGUGAGGGGGCGUGGCCUAUGGUAAUGAGAGCGGGUUUUAUGCUAAUGCGGAGCGGCCCUGGCCUUUUGGGGGUUGGGGGCGUGGCCUAUGGUAAUGACAGUGGGUUUUAUGAUAAUGAGGAGCAGCCCCAGCCUAUUUGGGGGUCGGGGGCGUGGCCUAGGCGAAUGAGGGCGGGGUCUAUGUAAUGAGGGGGCGUGGCCUAUGCGACUGGUCUCGCUUGUGUCGUUUUAGGGGCGUGGCUUAUGCAAAUGAGGCCUGGACUUAUGCUAAUGAGGGGGCGUGGCCCUCGAAAAUGGCGUCGCUUGUGGUGAUUUAGGGGCGUGGCCUAGGCAGACAAGGAUCGGGACUUAUGCUAAUGAGGGGGCGUGUCCUGUGCUGGCGGCAGCGCGGCUCAUGCAAGUGAGGGGCGGCCCCAGCGCUCUGGGGACGGGGCGUGGUUUAUGCAAAUCAGGGGCGUGGCCUAUACAAAUGAGAGGAAGAGCCAGCUCCUCCUCGCGGGUGCUGUGCUGGGGAAUCAGUGUUCCUGUGGGUGCUGGGGACUCAGUCCUUCCCCUGAGGGUGCUGGAGACUCGGUCCUCCCCGCAGGUGCUGUGCUCAGUCCCCCAACCCCGACAUUCGGAAAUUCCGUCCGGAAUUCACCGGAUUAUUUUUCGUUUUUCUCGUUUCAGAUUUCGACCUCUCGGACGCGCUCGACGACCCCAAGAAGCCGCUCCCGACCCCGAAAAAGCCCUCGGGAGGCGGGGCCGGCGAUGACCUGGACCUGAGCGAUGCCCUGGGCGGACACGACCCGCAGCCGCCGCCGCCCCGGCCGCCGCCCCCGCGACCCCGUGACCCCCAGAAGCCGGACGCCAGGCCCGCGGGAGGUCAGGACGGGGGGCAUCCGGGGUGGGUGGGGCGGGGCUAUGCAAAUGAGAUCGCCCCAUGCAAAUGAGACCCGAUUUACUUACACAGUCCACUGAAUGCAAAUGUAUGCUAAUGAGGGCGAUUUAUGCAAAUGAGGCCCGGUCUAGGCUUAUUGACUCCGGAAUAUGCUAAUUGGACGUGAUGUAUUUGCAUGUGCUUCCACAUAUGCUAAUGAGGCCUGGUGUACGCUAAUUAGAAGGCGUCCCUGCUGACGUUUUCUGCUGUAUGCUAAUGACGCCUGGUCUUUGCUCGUUCACUAAGGGAUUAUGCUAAUUGGAUUCCAUUCACAAUUAGGCUAACGAGCUCUGACUCGCGCCCGCUCAUUUUAAUAUAUGCAAAUCAGUCUCGGUUUAGGCUCAUUCAAUCAGAAAUAUGUAAAUUGGUUCUGAUUUAUUUGCAUUUCUUUCUGCGUAUGCUAAUCAGGACUGGCUUAUGCUAAUUAGAAGGUCUCUGCUGGCUUCCGCUGCAUGCUAAUUAAGGGAUAUGCUAAUUGGAUCUUAUUCAUAAUUAGACGAACGAGGUCGGACGGACGCCCGCUCAUUUUAAUUCAUGCAAAUGAGUCCUGGUCUGGGCUCUUUGACUCAGGAAUAUGCAAAUUGGUUCGGGUUUCUUUGCAUUUCUUUCUACAUAUGCUAAUGAGGCCUGGUUUAUGCUAAUUGGGCCUAGCUCAGCCCUCUCUGGUUCCGCGUAUGCUAAUGAGCUCCGCUGGGCGCCCGCUUGCCUGACUGUAUGCAAAUGAGUUCCGGGCUGGGCUCGUGGACUCAGAAAUAUGCUAAUUAGAGCUGACGUACUCGCCUUUGCUGCCGCGUAUGCUAAUGAGGCCCGGUGUAUGCUAAUUAGGACGCGUCCCUGCUGUAUGCUAAUGAGGCUGACGACUGCCCCAGGGCUGCGGCUGCUGCUGUGGUGACUCCGCACCUCGCCUGUCAGUCACCCGGCGGCCCCGCCCCGCCCCUGCUGCGGGCUGUCGGUCAGGGAGGAGGGCGGAGCCCUGCCUGAGGGGCGAGGCUAAUGUAUGCUAAUGAGCUUGGAGAGGUUCCCAGGGCUUCCUGCGGGGUGGGGCAUUCUAAUGUAUGCAAAUGAGCCGCCUCACACCCGCCCUCCCCUUAUGCUAAUGUAUUCUGGUUUAUGCUAAUGAGCACCCGUUCCUCCCUGGCAUCUUGCUCUGCGUCAUGGUGAUGUAUUCUAAUGUAUGCUAAUGAGCCACAGCCUUUGCCCCUCCCCUUAUGUUAAUU